rnacentral:lncRNA from 1 species
CACGAUCAGCCGCGGAUAACAAAGAAGGACCCGCCAUUUCUGUCCUUGGAGAACACCCUCAUCUUGGUCUUGAUCUGCUGCUCACCUUCUUUUGGAGGAGCCAACAAAAUUCAUCCAAAAUACUCCAUUAAAUCUCACCCUUGAGAAACACUAGUGACCCUCCCUCACUUCAACACACUGCUAAUCAGCUCCAAAACCUCACCAAAACACCCAUAAAACCAACCCCAAAAGCUACCUAAAAACCAUAUCCAAACUUCAAUGAAAACGAUCUUGAAGCAGUCUCAAAGCAACCCCCGAAAAGCCAGUAAAAAUACAUCAAAUUUCAGCUCUUAAAACCAUCAAAACCAGUCCAAAAGUUAGCCAAAAACUCAGCAACUCUUGUAUUUUUUUAGUC